rnacentral:misc_RNA from 1 species
CUAAUCGAGUCCCACUUUUAAUUGUACACAAGUCUAUCUUCUGCUUUAAUUAAGAAGACAAGCUAUUAUUGUAAAACUAGAAAUUUUUCAGCAUAAAUAUUAUCAUCCAUUUAUGGUAUCCAAACAGAAAAUUUAAAUAGCAUCUGUAUACUCGACAAAUUUACAUUUCAGCUUCCUAAAUGGAAGUCAACCUCUCUUCAACACCACCACCAUGAUAACCAUCACUGCCAAUGCCAUGAAAGAUGCUCCCAGGGUCUUAUCAAAAAACAAUGAUCGAGAAUUUCCCUCUGCUGCUGUAGAAACGUUAUCUGAGGAAAAGCCAAAAAUGUGCUGAACAAAAGAAGAGACAUUAUUCACCAUCUCAAACACAGUGUGUUUGAUGUUCUCAAAUAUAUCCUUGGGCCCGUUCUCAAACUUUCCAGCUUCACUUGCAUCAUCAGAUAAUUCAGCAAACUCCCUUGGAAAGCCCAAACCCUGUGACUCGUCAUCUGUACCAGAUU